UACGUAGGUGACAAGCGUUGUCCGGAUUUACUGGGCGUAAAGAGCGCGUAGGCGGUCGAUCAAGUCGAGUGUGAAAGCCCCCGGCUCAACUGGGGAGGGUCAUUCGAUACUGAUCGACUCGAAGGCAGGAGAGGGUAGUGGAAUUCCCGGUGUAGUGGUGAAAUGCGUAGAUAUCGGGAGGAACACCAGUGGCGAAGGCGACUACCUGGCCUGUUCUUGACGCUGAGGCGCGAAAGCUAGGGGAGCAAACGGG
rnacentral:rRNA from 1 species